AUUGAACGCUGGCGGCAGGCCUAACACAUGCAAGUCGGACGGUAGCACAGAGGAGCUUGCUCCUCGGGUGACGAGUGGCGGACGGGUGAGUAAUGUCUGGGGAUCUGCCCGAUAGAGGGGGAUAACCACUGGAAACGGUGGCUAAUACCGCAUAACGUCGCAAGACCAAAGAGGGGGACCUUCGGGCCUCUCACUAUCGGAUGAACCCAGAUGGGAUUAGCUAGUAGGCGGGGUAACGGCCCACCUAGGCGACGAUCCCUAGCUGGUCUGAGAGGACGACCAGCCACACUGGAACUGAGACACGGUCCAGACUCCUACGGGAGGCAGCAGUGGGGAAUAUUGCACAAUGGGCGCAAGCCUGAUGCAGCCAUGCCGCGUGUAUGAAGAAGGCCUUCGGGUUGUAAAGUACUUUCAGCGGGGAGGAAGGCGAUGUGGUUAAUAACCGCGUCGAUUGACGUUACCCGCAGAAGAAGCACCGGCUAACUCCGUGCCAGCAGCCGCGGUAA
rnacentral:rRNA from 1 species